rnacentral:rRNA from 1 species
GAGUUUGAUCGUGGCUCAGAUUGAACGCUGGCGGCAUGCCUUACACAUGCAAGUCGGACGGCAGCAUGAUCUAGCUUGCUAGAUUGAUGGCGAGUGGCGAAUGGGUGAGUAAUACAUCGGAACGUGCCCUGUAGUGGGGGAUAACUAGUCGAAAGAUUAGCUAAUACCGCAUACGACCUGAGGGUGAAAGUGGGGGACCGCAAGGCCUCAUGCUAUAGGAGCGGCCGAUGUCUGAUUAGCUAGUUGGUGGGGUAAAGGCCCACCAAGGCGACGAUCAGUAGCUGGUCUGAGAGGACGAUCAGCCACACUGGGACUGAGACACGGCCCAGACUCCUACGGGAGGCAGCAGUGGGGAAUUUUGGACAAUGGGCGAAAGCCUGAUCCAGCAAUGCCGCGUGUGUG